GAUGAACGCUGGCGGCGUGCUUAACACAUGCAAGUCGAACGAAACACCUUAUUUGAUUUUCUUCGGAACUGAAGAUUUGGUGAUUGAGUGGCGGACGGGUGAGUAACGCGUGGGUAACCUGCCCUGUACAGGGGGAUAACAGUCAGAAAUGACUGCUAAUACCGCAUAAGACCACGGCACCGCAUGGUGCAGGGGUAAAAACUCCGGUGGUACAGGAUGGACCCGCGUCUGAUUAGCUGGUUGGUGAGGUAACGGCUCACCAAGGCGACGAUCAGUAGCCGGCUUGAGAGAGUGAACGGCCACAUUGGGACUGAGACACGGCCCAAACUCCUACGGGAGGCAGCAGUGGGGAAUAUUGCACAAUGGGGGAAACCCUGAUGCAGCGACGCCGCGUGAGUGAAGAAGUAUUUCGGUAUGUAAAGCUCUAUCAGCAGGGAAGAAAAUGACGGUACCUGACUAAGAAGCCCCGGCUAACUACGUG
rnacentral:rRNA from 1 species